GUUGACCUCGAAUCAGGUAGGACUACCCGCUGAACUUAAGCAA
rnacentral:rRNA from 1 species